rnacentral:rRNA from 1 species
UUAAUGAGAGUUUGAUCCUGGCUCAGGAUGAACGCUGGCGGCGUGCCUAAUACAUGCAAGUAGAACGCUGAAGCUUGGUGCUUGCACCGAGCGGAUGAGUUGCGAACGGGUGAGUAACGCGUAGGUAACCUGCCUGGUAGCGGGGGAUAACUAUUGGAAACGAUAGCUAAUACCGCAUAACAGUAGAUAUUGCAUGAUAUCUGCUUGAAAGGUGCAAUUGCAUCACUACCAGAUGGACCUGCGUUGUAUUAGCUAGUUGGUGAGGUAACGGCUCACCAA